GUUGACGGUGCAGUAUCCUAGUCGGAGUGACCGCUUUCCAGGAAGGGCCUAAAAAUCCUUUGAAGGGCACAUCGAUGAAGUCCCUGGUGUCUGCUUAUUACGCCCAGUUUUGGGUGGAUGCUGGGGGUUAAGGAUCCAGGGCGCGCUCCAAUGGCAUGGAGCAUACGACCCGGUUUCCGUGGAGACUUGAACCUUGUGCGACGACGGGUAGAGCCCCGGGAGGGGUCCGAUCGCGUACGAAUCAGGUAUGAACCUGCAAGGCGGUGCACAGAAUCGUGUGCUGCGUGCAGCGUAGCCUGCCUUGAAGUGAACAUGCGGGGAAGGGAGACCAGGCCGGAUGCCGCUGUGGCCACGGCGGCUCGACUAUCGCUCCCGGAAACCAUGCUUGCAAAAGAGGCUAAGAUUGCGGAACAUUCCGCCGUGGAAAACACCUAGGCUGUCUGAAAAGGGCAGGCAGGGGAUUGCAGUACGGACUCAGUGGCAAUCGGGUACCCAUUAUCAUGGCGACACUUGGGCGGAGGGAUCAAAUGGAAACGGCCUGUGCGGCAACGGCAGGUUCCCACCGGUGAAAAACAACCCGACCUAAGCCGUAAGAUUUAUCCUGCCUGCUGCCGUCACCUUUUAU
rnacentral:sRNA from 1 species